GUGGGGAAUAUUCCGCAAUGGACGAAAGUCUGACGGAGCAACGCCGCGUGAGUGAUGAAGGUUUUCGGACUGUAAAGCUCUGUUGUUUGGGACGAAAGUGCCUGUUGCGAACAGUUACGGGUAUUGACGGUACUAAACGAGGAAGCCACGGCUAACUACGUGCCAGCAGCCGCGGUAAUACGUAGGUGGCAAGCGUUGUCCGGAAUUAUUGGGCGUAAAGAGCAUGUAGGCGGGAAUCUAAGUCUGUUGUUAAAAUGCGGGGCUCAACCCCGUAUUGCGAUGGAAACUGGGUUUCUUGAGUGCAGGAGAGGAAAGGGGAAUUCCCAGUGUAGCGGUGAAAUGCGUAGAUAUUGGGAGGAACACCAGUGGCGAAGGCGCCUUUCUGGACUGUGUCUGACGCUGAGAUGCGAAAGCCAGGGUAGCGAACGUGAUUAGAAACCCUUGUAGUCC
rnacentral:rRNA from 1 species